AAAUUGAAGAGUUUGAUCAUGGCUCAGAUUGAACGCUGGCGGCAGGCCUAACACAUGCAAGUCGAGCGGUAGCACAGAGAGCUUGCUCUCGGGUGACGAGCGGCGGACGGGUGAGUAAUGUCUGGGAAACUGCCUGAUGGAGGGGGAUAACUACUGGAAACGGUAGCUAAUACCGCAUAACGUCGCAAGACCAAAGUGGGGGACCUUCGGGCCUCAUGCCAUCAGAUGUGCCCAGAUGGGAUUAGCUAGUAGGUGGGGUAAUGGCUCACCUAGGCGACGAUCCCUAGCUGGUCUGAGAGGAUGACCAGCCACACUGGAACUGAGACACGGUCCAGACUCCUACGGGAGGCAGCAGUGGGGAAUAUUGCACAAUGGGCGCAAGCCUGAUGCAGCCAUGCCGCGUGUAUGAAGAAGGCCUUCGGGUUGUAAAGUACUUUCAGCGAGGAGGAAGGCAUUAAGGUUAAUAACCUUGG
rnacentral:rRNA from 1 species